AUAGCGUAUAUUAAAGUUGUUGCAGUUAAAAAGCUCGUAGUUGAACUUCAGACCUGGCUGGGUGGUCUGCCUAACGGUAUGUACUGUCCGGCUGGGCCUUACCUCUUGGUGAGCCGGCAUGCCCUUCACUGGGUGUGUCGGGGAACCAGGACUUUUACCUUGAGAAAAUUAGAGUGUUCAAAGCAGGCUUAUGCUCGAAUACAUUAGCAUGGAAUAAUAGAAUAGGACGUGCGGUUCUAUUUUGUUGGUUUCUAGAGUCGCCGUAAUGAUUAAUAGGGAUAGUUGGGGGCAUUGGUAUUGAGUCGCUAGAGGUGAAAUUCUUGGAUUGACUCAAGACCGACUAUUG
rnacentral:rRNA from 1 species